rnacentral:rRNA from 1 species
AGGACGAACGCUGGCGGCGUGCUUAACACAUGCAAGUCGAGCGGAAAGGCCCUUCGGGGUACUCGAGCGGCGAACGGGUGAGUAACACGUGAGUAAUCUGCCCCUAGCUCUGGGAUAGCUCCGGGAAACCGGGAUUAAUACCAGAUACGACCACUUUAGACAUCUGCUGUGGUGGAAAGAAUUUCGGCUAGGGAUGAGCUCGCGGCCUAUCAGCUUGUUGGUGAGGUAACGGCUCACCAAGGCGACGACGGGUAGCCGG